rnacentral:misc_RNA from 1 species
GAUGAAGAACGUAGCGAAAUGCGAUAAGUAGUGUGAAUUGCAGAAUUCAGUGAAUCAUCGAAUCUUUGAACGCACAUUGCGCCCCUUGGUAUCCCGAGGGGCAUGCCUGUUCGAGCGUCAUUUCACCACUCAAGCCUGGCUUGGUGUUGGGCGACGUCCUCUUUGGGGACGCGCCUCGAAACGCUCGGCGGCGUGGCACCGGCUUUAAGCGUAGCAGAAUCUUUCGCUUUGGAAGUCGGGGCCCCGUCUGCCGGAAGACCUGCUCGCAAGGUUGACCUCGGAUCAGGCAGGGAUACCCGCUGAACUUAAGCAGAUCAAUAAGCGGAGGA